rnacentral:rRNA from 1 species
GACGGAGGGGGCAAGCGUUGUUCGGAAUUAUUGGGCGUAAAGGGCUCGUAGGCGGACUGGUAAGUCUGAUGUGAAAAUCUCCAUCGCUCAACGAGGAGAGGUCAUUGGAAACUGCCAGUCUGGAGUACGGUAGAGGACCAUGGAAUUCCAGGUGUAGCGGUGGAAUGCGUAGAUAUCUGGAAGAACACCGGUGGCGAAGGCGGUGGUCGUGGGCCGUUAGUGACGCUGAGGAGCGAAAGCC